GUAAUUAUAUUUAUGACACAUAAAAUAAUGUUAACGAUACAGAGACGAUCAGCAUGGCCCCUACAUAUGGAUGAACCCCUUCACCACCAAAAAUAUCAACAACAACAAAAAAACCCAUU
ensembl:snRNA